AUCGGAUGAGAUUUGACCGAGUUAUAGGCAUGGGAAGUUUGGACCCAUGUCUAUAUACGAAUCUUGGGGUAAGAUUUUGACAUGAAAUUCGACUAAAAAAUAGACGUUCAGAUUUGAAUGCCAGAUUAUUCUAGAGGGAAGGCAAUGAAUAAAAAGCAAAACCUCGCCAAAAUCGGGUGAGAUUUGACCGAGUUAUGGGAAUGGGAAGUUUGGACCCAUGUCUAUAUACGAAUCUUGGGGUAAGAUUUUAAAAUGAAAUUCGACUAAGAAAUAGAUGUUCAGAUUUGAAUGCCAGAUUAUUCUAGAGGGAAAACCAUGAAUAAAAAGCCAUACCUCGUAAAAAUCGGAUGAGAUUUGACCAAGUUAUGGGAAUGGGAAGUUUAGACCCAUGUCUAUAUACGAAUCUUGGGGUAAGAUUUUGACAUGAAAUUCGACUACAAAAUAUGUGUUCAGAUUUGAAUGCCAGAUUAUUCUAGAGGGAAAACCAUGAAUAAAAAGCCAAAACUCGCAAAAAUCGGAGGAGAUUUGACCGAGUUAUAGGCAUGGGAAGUUUGGACUAUAUGUCCAAUUCGAAUCUUGGGAUUAUUCUAGAGGGAAAACCAUGAAUAAAAAGCCAAGCCUCGCAAAAAUCGGAUGAGAUUUGACCGACUCAUAGGCAUGGGAAGUUUGGACCCAUGUCUAUAUACGAAUCUUGGGGUAAAAUUUUGACAUCAAAUUCAAAUAAAAAAUUGGGGUUCAGAUUUGAAUGCCAGAUUAUUCUAGAGGGAACACCAUGAAUAAAAAGCCAAACCUCGCCAAAAUCGGAUGAGAUUUGACCGAGUUAUAGGCAUGGGAAGUUUGGACCCAUGUCUAUAUACGAAUCUUGGGAUAUCUGGUCAAGAGAACUAUGCAUGCUCUGACCCGUGACAAAUUUUCGCGUAGACAAGACUAGGCAACAGCAAACAGCAGUUCACAGAUUUCACUACUCAAGAUGUUUUGAUAGACGUAGAGCUAACAACUGCAAAUGAACGCAAGCAAAACAAGUCGCCGCCGUUGGUUGUUCUUGUUAGACAAAUGAUGCCAAUUAAACGGUGGGAAAACGAGUUGGCAAAAGAGUCUGCACGCUUGUCGCCGCCUCAA